rnacentral:rRNA from 1 species
AGAACGAACGCUGGCGGCAGGCCUAACACAUGCAAGUCGAACGCGAAAUCACCUUCGGGUGGUGGAGAGUGGCAGACGGGUGAGUAACGCGUGGGAAUCUACCCAAUGGUACGGAAUAACUCAGGGAAACUUGAGCUAAUACCGUAUGUGCCCGAAAGGGGAAAGAUUUAUCGCCAUUGGAUGAGCCCGCGUCGGAUUAGCUAGUUGGUGGGGUAACGGCCCACCAAGGCGACGAUCCGUAGCUGGUCUGAGAGGAUGAUCAGCCACACUGGGACUGAGACACGGCCCAGACUCCUACGGGAGGCAGCAGUGGGGAAUAUUGGACAAUGGGCGCAAGCCUGAUCCAGCCAUGCCGCGUGAGUGAUGAAGGCCCUAGGGUUGUAAAGCUCUUUCGACGGGACGAUAAUGACGGUACCCGUAGAAGAAGCCCGGCUAACUCGUGCCAGCAGCCGC